rnacentral:rRNA from 1 species
CCUACGGGUGGCUGCAGUGGGGAAUAUUGGACAAUGGGCGAAAGCCUGAUCCAGCAAUGCCGCGUGAGUGAUGAAGGCCUUAGGGUUGUAAAGCUCUUUUACCCGGGAAGAUAAUGACUGUACCGGGAGAAUAAGCUCCGGCUAACUCCGUGCCAGCAGCCGCGGUAAUACGGAGGGAGCUAGCGUUGUUCGGAAUUACUGGGCGUAAAGCGCACGUAGGCGGCUUUGUAAGUUAGAGGUGAAAGCCUGGAGCUCAACUCCAGAAUUGCCUUUAAGACUGCAUCGCUUGAAUCCAGGAGAGGUGAGUGGAAUUCCGAGUGUAGAGGUGAAAUUCGUAGAUAUUCGGAAGAACACCAGUGGCGAAGGCGGCUCACUGGACUGGUAUUGACGCUGAGGUGCGAAAGCGUGGGGAGCAAACAGGAUUAGAUACCCCAGUAGUC